UAGUUUGGUGAAAGUUCACACUGAGUGCUUCAAAUCAUUCAGAAGAGAUGCUGUUUUUAGGGCAGUUCAUUAAAGAAGACCUGACAUGGAUGACUUCCAAUGAGAAACGACUGCUAAUACUUAUAUAAAUUCAUUACAGAAGGACCCUACCAGACUAUAUUUGAAUACGGCAUACCCAUGAAUUCUGGAACUGUUAUUCCUUAACCCAGUUUGGAGGAUAAGCGCUUACCAACUAGUUAUAAAUAUGCUGAGGUGAUGUAUUGCAAAAUAGCCAACAUACAACAAUAUGGAUGACCCUCUGUCUGGUCAACAGGAGUUUCAAUAUGGACGGGACAGUUAUGUGGCAGCUCUUCCCUGGCUCAUUCACCUCUUGCCUUUCCUUUGUGAAAGGAAGAAAGAAGAAAGAGGGUCAAUGUGCAACUGAAGCUACUGAUUGUGCUGUGUGAUGAGCAUCAAUCCAUGCUUUGAGGUGGAUGGAUCAGCACAGCCCUGCCUGCUCUGCGUUGGGAACAGAAGUUGCAUCCAGAAUUUUUGCAUCAUUCUGGACCAAAAAGCCAUUCCCUCCAUGAUGAAGACCACUGAUGCAGCCUUCCACUUCCAUCAUGAGUAAAACAACUACAGAACUAAAUACCAGGUUGGAACGUAUUUAAGAAAAAUGAAACGUCUUUUGAAUUGAAAUGUCUGUUUUGCUAUGGAAAAAUCUUUAGUAUUGUGAAGGACAAGCAUUUCUGCCUGCCAGUAAGGUAAUUGCAGUGUAUUUUAAUGUUCAAGUUUUGAGUAGGGUGGCUAAUUUUUUUUAAACUCUCAUUUGAUAUAUUAAAGACCUUAUAAUAAGUGGUUUUCAUGUCACUGCGCUGUGGUAUAAGAUAACUUUCAUUAUUCCAUACUGUAUUCUGUUUCUAAUUGUAGCUGAGGUAUUUAAAUAAGCAGUAUUAAAUGCAAAGUGUUGUGUGUAUCAAUGUAAAUA